rnacentral:lncRNA from 1 species
CAGAGGAAGUGCAAACCGAGGAGAAGUAUGGAGAUGAUAAUGAAGAUAAUGAUAGUUAUUAUUAUGAUUCGGAUGGUUACAACGAAGAUGACGACGACAAUGGAAGUGACGGGGUUGUUGGUUGGGACGAUGACGAAGAAGAGUUUGACUGUGACUUGGAGAGCAAAAUUGAGGGAUUCAUCGCUAAGGUCAUAGCAGGAUGGAAGGAAGAAUUGUUGAGGGACAAGCUUCACAACUACUAUGUG